AAUUCGAUGCAACGCGAAGAACCUUACCAAGUCUUGACAUGCAGAUGCACCAGCGGUAAUGCGCUGUCCCUUCGGGGCGUUUGCACAGGUGCUGCGUGGCUGUCGUCAGCUCGUGUCGUGAGAUGUUGGGUUAAGUCCCGCAACGAGCGCAACCCCUACUGCCUAUUACAACUUCUAGGCGGAACUGCCCUCACGGGAGGAAGGCGGGGAUGACGUCAAGUCAGCACGGCCCUUACGACUUGGGCGACACACACGCUACAAUGGCCAGCAACAAAGGGAUGCCAACCCGCGAGGGGGAGCCAAGCUCAAAAACCUGGUCUCAGUUCAGAUUGCAGGCUGAAACUCGCCUGCAUGAAGGUGGAGUUGCUAGUAACCGUAGGUCAGCACACUACGGUGAAUACGUUCCCGGGUCUUGUACACACCGCCCGUCACACCACGAAAGUCGGCAACACCUGAAGCCGCCAGGCUAACUCUUCGGAGAGGCAGGCGUCGAGGGUGGGGUUGGUGAUUGGGGUGAAGUCGUAACAAGGUAGCC
rnacentral:rRNA from 1 species